CCACUAUUUUAUACAAAUUAGUAACCUCUAUCAUCAAAUUUAUAACUAAAUUCAUCACUUAUAGUAGCUCUUAUUAUGCAACAUACUAUCAUACAGUCAUGGAGCCACUUCUAAUAAGUAUCUCCAACCGUCGCAUCUGUAUUGGGAGCUGGUACUUCAAGUGCUGGAUCCGUAAUCAUAUAUAGGAUCCUCUCAUGCUCGAGAACUAUUCUCAACUUUCGAUAUCAAUUAUCAAAAUUUGGUCCUAUAAGCUUGUUAUUGUCAACAGUGAGCGAAGCGACAAAUUACUAGCCA
rnacentral:lncRNA from 1 species